UAUGGCUAUAUCAGAUUGAAACACCGGUUCCCGUACGAUUACCGAAGUUAAGCAACAUCGAGAUGGUUAGUAUCUAGAUGGGUGACCGCUUGGGAAUACCAGGUACUGUCA